AAUAUUGCGCAAUGGAGGAAACUCUGACGCAGCGACGCCGCGUGAGCGAUGAAGGUCUUCGGAUCGUAAAGCUCUGUCCUUGGGGAAGAAGGUCUUCGGACUUGACGGUACCCAUGGAGGAAGCCCCGGCUAACUACGUGCCAGCAGCCGCGGUAAUACGUAGGUGGCAAGCGUUGUCCGGAAUUACUGGGUGUAAAGGGAGCGUAGGCGGGUACGCAAGUUGAAUGUUUAACCUAUCGGCUCAACCGAUAGUCGCGUUCAAAACUGCGGAUCUUGAGUGAAGUAGAGGCAGGCGGAAUUCCUAGUGUAGCGGUGAAAUGCGUAGAUAUUAGGAGGAACACCAGUGGCGAAGGCGGCCUGCUGGGCUUUUACUGACGCUGAGGCUCGAAAGCAUGGGGAGCAAACA
rnacentral:rRNA from 1 species